UGCCCCGAGGCUGAAGAAGAAGAAGAGAUAAUCGAACGACGAACCGUGCAUUUCUGAACACCCGACGUUGUGAAGGAACCAGUUGGAAUCGUGAGCCGCCAUCUUUACUGAGGACCUUCCGAUCUGACCCGAGGCACAGUCUCGACGCCCGCACCACCCAGUGCGUGCCUGGGGGGACGCCCUGCCCCCCAAUCUGUAGAACCUAACCCAGACUAACUUCGCUAAGGUGAGGUGAUUCAGCCCACUUCCACGACCCUGCCUCUUGUAAGAUGCCAAGUUUCCAAUCAGUUAGGCUUAGCAUUCCCGUGUUUCUCCUGCGCUAAAAGUGAAUCAGAUGGGGUUGUUGAAAUGCGUCUAAAAAAACUUCUAGUCCACAGAAUUCUUAUAUUUGGAGAUGCAGUACGACCUUUUUCCACUUCUAUCCAAUAUUUACCUUCCUAACCCAUUCACUAAUUUUUAAAAACGAGUGGUCCCCAUACGAUAGAGUCAACUCUAUUGUGGAAAGCAGGAUAUUGGGAAUUGGAAUAUUGGUACCCCACCAGUACUAUUUUGACACUCAGAAUCUGUCGUGUUAGCAGGAGAAGUUGUUAAAUGUACUUUACAUAUUCCGUAGCCGUCGGCAACUCAAUUUGUGCGAGCGCUCCCACGUAUUCUACGCGAGCGCUCCCACGGAGGUUUCAGAAACGUCCACAGACCAUGAUCCAGCGACACCAUGCUCCGGCCAAGGCAAAGGUAAGUCUACGUCAGAACGUCGCUGAACAGAUGGGCCCUUAUUUGUCGUGUUUCACAUAUGAUUGACGUAUGCUGUCUUACUGAAAUUGUUUUAUCCCUUGCCAACACAUUGUCGCUUAAUUGCCAUGUCCGAAGACCGUUAUUUACAAGUUCGUCUCUUAAGCCUGGUCCGCGCUAUUCCACUUCUGUGCGUCCGACAGCGUUGCGUCCGUCUGCAAACCGACGCUGACCCCUGCGGAAGGACGCAUUGGUUCGCGGGGUUAAAUGUUUGGACGGAGCGACGCGAGAAAUGCUGGUCGUUGCCCCUGUAAAGGCGAGUUCCCGCAUAUAUAGCGCUUCGCUCUAUGGGGCUAGAAAAUAGCGCUCGAAACCUAGCGCUGUUUUUCCGUAUGCCGUUCUCACAUACAACCGAGCACAUAGCGCUACCCUGCUGGGGUCACGGGAUAUCUCUUUGCGACGUGAUGCACCGGUGCUGCCGUGAUUGCUUACUGUCGGCGUCUGGUAUCCGCAGCAUCAAGGAGGAUGACACUUUCGGUGCUGUGAUCGCGAUACCAGAUUAUAGUGACCAAACACCCAUGCAUUGGCAGAUGAAACUCGUGGCCAUAUUCACGUCGUCGCAUUCCCGUCUUGUUCCUUCGAGUGAUCGGAAGCAAAACAAACCCCAGCUUCCGCGACGUCACGGCUGAAAGAAGCUCACGAUUGGUUAACGCACACUCACCGCUCAAUAUAGCUCUAGAAAAGUUGACCGGGGCUCUACUUCAACAAGAGCGGUUUUAUAGCGGUUCGUAGCAAUGCGAGGAGGAAAAUAUAGCGCAAUUUUCUAGUGCUAUGUAGCAAAGCGCUAUAUGUGGGAACUGGCCUUAACCGUGCGUCUGGGCGGUCUUCUUUUACUUCACUUCACUUCGCGUAUUUGGCUGGAAGCUGUUUCUCGUAACGCAGCGUCCGAAAAGUUUGGACGUAAACACACUGCGACGGUACGUCUCCGCGCAUGAGAGAAAGAAAAUGUUGCAGAAUGCACGUGCGUUUGUCCAAUGAGAAAGCAGCAAUAAGGAAUAUUCGCAGACGGCCCACGACGCUAUAGUGAAAACAUGAAGCAACGUGGUCCUGACGAGUGUAAGACUUCUACUAGCACGAAGGGAAAGUAACAGCAAUAUGGCAGCAAUAUAGAAAGCCCUGCUCCGCGAGGAAUUGAAAGAGAUGGGAAAAUUAUAUUGGAAGAAGCAAACUGCUUCAACGAUUUGCACCACUAAGUGAUUCUAGUUCACUGCCACUCAGACAAAAAUCUAUACCUUUAGAGGUAUAGAUCGCCUGCUCAAUAACUUAGCCCUUAGGUAUUAUUUUAUACCCCGCUUACAGGGCUAUAAAGGCUACUAAGGGCUAUAUGCCAUACCUUUAGGGGUACAGUUCUAUACCCCUGUGAGAGUCUGCAAGAGUACGAUCAUGGUAUUAAAUCACACCUAUGCAUGGACAUUCUUAGAGGAGGCAACUAAAAAAAUCACCUUUGGAGGCAAGAAGUUUUUGACAUGCACACACACACGACUACAAACACACGCGAACGCAAAUGGUUGUGAAGUAGAAAGAAAAGCUCGUGCACAUUACUCCCCAUGUAACAAAAAAGAAAAUAUGGACUUAAAAACUAAAGAAAAUUUUCAAGGAGCAAGAUCGCUCUGCGCAGUUAUCAAGUGUGAAUCACGAUGUAUCGCGAGAUAGACACUUACAGAGCAACAAAUACUGAUAUACCGGUGGCGACUUCACAAACUGUGGAGCAGCCAUUGUCUUGUACGUAACCCUAAGCGUGAGGACAUUCAACAUUCUAGCAAUACGCAACAAUCGUAAUUAAAUAUCCGUUUAACUUAGCUGAUACCGUCUCAAGAAAAAUUAAUAAUGAUGUGAUACAGCAAGUUGCCAUAACCAAAACCAAAGGUAACCAAACCAAAAAAGGUAUAAAGAAACAGAAGGUAUAAGCAGCCUGGUACAGCGGAUAUAAACGCGUGGUGAAGAGGUAUAAAUAUGGUACGUUAGUCCUCCUUUAUACCUCUUUCAUGCCCUUGAGAAGGGUUUGAGGUAUAAAUAGGAAAUUUGUACCUCUUCUAUACCUUUCAAAGGUAUAUCUGAAGCAGAAGGUAUAAAAGAGGUAUAUAAGAGCAGCCAUUAUGGUAGAAAGUAAAUGUGAUGACUCUGCAUAUCUUGUUUCAACAGAUUCGAGUGGAGUGCCCUCUGUGUUCGUGAACUUUCGUAAUAGUAAGAGCCAGGGUAUUGGCGGCUUGCAAAUCAAACCGAUUAAACAUGCAAUUGAUAUAAUUGAAACGCAAUUAGAACAUCUGUGUCUGUUAGAGGGCGCAUUCCCACGUCAGAUGCAGAAGGCUAAAGUAAUAUCAAUAUACAAGGGUGGUGACAAAAAUUCAUUAACUAUAGACCUAUAUCGGCAUUACCCGUGUUUUCCCUCCAUACGAGAAAAGUUUGUAUAAAAGUUUCUAUUCUGAUGGAUCAAAAAAUUAAAUGCCUUGGUAAUGUCUAGUGUUAAUAAUUUAUUUUCAAAAUGCUAUUUCUUUUUGAGUCAAUAAGGCCAGUUCUCUGCACUCUGUGACUCUGUUAUAGGUGAAUUUGCUAAAAACUGUUUCAUUUGUGAUAGUCAUUAGCGAAGAUAUGGUGAAUUGAUAAGUGCGUAGCCGAUAACGUAGCGAUAACGUGGCCUUCUGUGUAUUUUCCCUAGCAGCACAAUGUACUGAAAGUCGAGUGCAAUAGAGGUGGACGGGUAGGUGGAAGGCCUUGAACAGAAUUCUGAAACUAAAGAACAUUGAUAAGACACAUACCGGCCACCCCUAUUGCACUCGACUUUCAGUAAAUUCUGCUGCUUGGGUUCCUGUGCGUUUUUCGUUCACAGCUAUCACGUGUGUGAAUCCACGAGUGGGAAUCCAGACCAUUGUCAUGCUGCUGCCUGCAACUUAUAGCACCGGUACUCCCACACUACAGUUUGCUACAAUGUAAAUGUUGCAAUGCAACUCAUUCGACCCAUAUCUGCAAACCAUUACGCGCAAUUUAAAAUUAUCCUUGUGUUUUCUUAGCAGUUCGAUGAUUGCUACUGCAUUACACAUCGUUCCAUCAGCAGGCAGACCGCUAACUCUUACGCUUUUGACGGUUUUCGCAGGGCGUCCGACGCCGAGCGAAGAGUAACGCUUUCUCACAGCACAUUUGCUCCACGGAGGUGGAUCUUGUCAUGGGCUUCGUCCUGCGCCUACCAGAUAAGUGAUAACACGGUGUUCUGUAUUAUAGCAUUGUAUGUGGUACUUCAACUCAAGGCAACUUAGGUUCACUGCCACACAUUUUUGUUCCAACUUUGGGUGGAAUAUGAAGACACCGAUGUUAGGCAUUAUGACAAAACAGUCCAGGACAGUUCUGCCGGACGACGAUUUCAGUCACGCUUAAGGGUAGCGUUAGUGUUGAGUGUUAUGUGGUGUAACGUACCCAAAAACGCGGACUAAAGAACCCAAGCUCAGCACACUCAGCGAAAACUCUUCUUUGCUGCGCGUUGUUGGUGCAACCUCGGGUUAGCCACUCAUUGCUGACAAGGCAGUUUUGUCUAGAAUUUGGUGGGCUAAUCAGGCAACGAAUUCGUCAAAUGACACUUGAGCAGAUCAGGGAAAUUCAGACCGGCCUUCCGGCGGACCGCACCGUACGGGUUGAACCCAGAGGGUGCAGACGAAAGAGAGUGAGCGAGCUCUGUGAUGUUUCUCACCUGUACCUUCCCUGCCUUACGUGCAUGAAACCCAUAUAAGCUGGUAUUCCAUCCUCCUCCAUAUUCCGCUGACUCUGCCUCUCUAGCUAGGCGACUCAAUUUAGAUCUCCAUGGUCGCCCAGAGUGUACAUUGUCCGACCAUGGCAUUCGGGUUCCGGCCGUACUCUCGAUUAUAUUUGCGUUGCUGUUUUCCGCUACGGUUUGCAUACUUCAAACGAGCGAAAUCGGAAAGAAAAGGUGCCUUAUCCAAGCGGCCUCAAUGAAAAAUUGGAUUUAGGUGCUUUUAAAUCACUUGCCGACGGGUCUUACACAGAGUGCUCGAGCUUGCACAUUCACGUGCAGCUCCAUAUCGGGUUGGCCACUUAAUAUUCUGUAUUCUUAGUUCCUCGUGUAGGACCUUCCCUAGAAACGUCAACUCUUUUUUUCUUCUUUUGCGCACAUUCUCCGUUUUCCCCUUCGAGUACACCAGUCCCAUUUUUAUCUUGUGACGAAACCACCCCUAUUGAAGAAAACCAAUUAAGUAAUUCGUAUAGGUCCUGUGUAAAAUUAUAUAGGAUGCCACAGGAUCCUUAUGGGUUAUUUAGGAACCUAUAUAACUCCUGUGUAGGUCAUUAUGGGAUCCUAAAAGAGCCCAUGCAGGAGUCAUGUAGGAGCCAUAAGGUCCUAUAUAACUCCUGUGUAGGCCAUUAUGGGAUCCUAAAAGAGCCCAUGCAGGAGUCAUGUAGGACCAUGCAGGACCCAUAAGUUCCUACAUUGAGGAUGCAGGAGUUACACUGGCCCUAUAUGUAGACCAUGCAGGAGUCAUACAGGGUCACAUACGGCCACAUAGGAGUCAUCCUUUCUCGACCAGUUAUAAGUCCUUGAAACCCUGAAAUAAGUAAGAACGUGCAGGAACACAUAUCAGCCCUUCUAAAAUCAAUAAAAAUGUAAAAAUUUUAUAUUGAAUUUAGGAGGGUGAUAUGUGUUUCAUCAGUUAUUUUAAGCUGCGGCUUAAAAUAACUGAUGUUCGAUUCAUUUUUGGAACGUACAUACAAGGCCAUUAUUGAUCGACCAAACAUCAAACAUAAAAUGAUGCGUGCGUUCUAUGAACACAUUUGGCAUAUUACAGUACUUGGCGUUUUUCAACCGUCCUGUGGUUGUUGAACCCCAUCCAGAGAUAUUGCUUUGUCGCUCGAUGGGUUUCCGGGUCUAAUAUCUCUGUCUGUAGCUGUCAUAUCGGGACGCGUUUUUUUGUGACGAAUUCCCGUUUCUUCCCCCUUCGUCUGCAUGCUCGUGGCUUGUGGGAAAUCCUGACAGUUGCCGAGAUAUUUGGAAAUUCAAGGCCCCCAUAGGUGCUUCCGACAUCUCCAAAGUCCCGUACCUCUCGCCCCGUUUGUCGGAUCGAGACCAAAAUUUAGGUCUGAACAGGUCUGGAAUAGCUCUACGAUCGCUCAAAUCACACUAGCAGCUGAUCUCUAGUGGUUUAGAAGUUGUUACAAGGAGACGCGUUAGAAGCGCCGUUUUUUCGAACUUCGGGGCCCUUUUUCGGAAAUAAGCUCGCGUCGGACAUGAUGUAUCUUUUGAGAGCAUACUGUUAUCGACGCGGUGCACGUGGUAAAAUAUACCACACUUUUCCAACUCUAGCGGUUCUCGAGUUACAGGUUUCCGCGUUUACUGGCCUCCCGGUACAUGGGACCGACGGCUUUUUUCCCCCAAAACGUUCCCCUUGCUGCAACAUGGUCGUGUUUCCCUUCGUUGUGACAGUCUCGAUGUGCUCUUUCGAACAGCGUUGAUCCCGUAGACGAGCGACGUUCCGUUCUCGCGAUAUCGGCUUAAGAGUACGACGAGGCGACCAGUCCGGCUAGCGCAACUCUGAAACGCUUCCCAGUAUUCGGAGUCUCAACUCGCAUACCCGCGUCCGGUUCAGUCGAAAUUUUGUGUGCAUGUGCUCUGUUCUCUGCUCUACAACUUUCUCAUUCAGGCGUCAUUCUCGACAUUCCUGACACCGACCACCAUUUCCUGACUUCACGUCCCACGUUUUCAGGUUCCAAGCCCGCGGCGGAUGCGAAUUUCCUUUUAACGGAUAAACGCGCUCGACAUAGGCAACGCGUAGAAACUUGCGGCACCUUUCUAUCCCUCUCCGUUCCCGAGUUACGACACCGUGGCAACGGCGGCCCUCUUAUACAUAGGACCGGGGGCAUUUUUCUCGAUAUCGGACUUUUGUUGGCGUAGAAAGGCGAUUGAGGUCUCUUUUUGACGGGGAAAGCGUCCUCUUUCCGAUACUAUUAGUCCCGUCUUCGCGCUACUUUCCGUUCUCUUGCCAUAGUGCGAGGAGCGCCUGAACAGCAUGCAUCUUCCUUCCCUUCCACCGCCGCCACCAGGCGGGGCUCUGGGGCUCUGGCGCCCAUUUCGCUUGUAAAGUUCGUUGAGGUCUGACGCGUUUGUUCUCGCAUCCGGAUUUUCGCGUUUCGUUGUGGCUCUGGGCUCCUCUGUAGCAGCGAACUGCUGUGGAUGUGUUAUUCUGCUCUACAGGUGAUGCCUGGACGUGCUUUCUUGUGUGCGUGUUGGAAGAUAUGUCCAGAAGCCCUUAGAUUUGGUGAAGUAAAGGUUAGUCGCGUGCCAGUAGUGCAUUGUUUCGUGCUUUUCGUUCGGUAUCCUUUCCAGAAUGUGGGUUCCCCUACUUUAUGCUCUCAGUGUGCAUAUUACCCUUGUGAUUCAUAUUACCUUGUCUCUAUCUCUUAGCUCAGUGUCCCUAUUGGUAAACCUCCAACGCUUAUCAGGGUGAAGAUGUCACAUGUGAUGCUCCAGUGGCCCUGCUACUUACGACGAAUUUGUGAAUUUCAGAUGCUUUUCACGGAUGGAUUUUCGUGAACGCAGAUGAGCCAGGUAAGACAUCAAAUGAGGCAUAUGGCUCACCCAUGCAACUCCUUCAUCUGCUCCACGGCAGUGCAAUCCUUUACAGCUGUGUCCUUGAAUGUAAAAAAAUUGUGAAUGGUAUUAAUAAAUAAAGCGAAGUAGACUGUA